GACGCCUGAAAAAAAAAAACAAUUUUGGAAAUACUUUUCGCAACAGAGUGGCGUAAAUCUCUGUCUUCGUAUCUCCUUCAAGCGCCAAGGUCAGCUCUCUCUGGCCUGUAAUUCCUGCAAUAGUCCUCUCAAGGUUCGAUCCUCUCAAGUUCCUCUUCGUAUCAAGCUAACGCUUUUUAAAUCUGCAACUUGAGGGAAAGAUCAGGACCGCUAGUUCUGCUUUUGGUUCGUUCAUUCGACGAUCGUAUUUGCUUUGAAUUUUUGUGCGAUUUGAUUUACUUUGUUGAGUUGCGGUUUUUUCAGAUGAUAAAGGGAGAGGGGAGUCGAGAGAACGAGGUCUCGGGGCCCGCCUUUCCCGAUCCACUUGAUUCAUUUCCUCUUCAAUUGGAUGGUGGCGAUUCGCCACUGUCGCCUGUGUCUCCGUCGCGGUACUCCUCCUGUAACGAGUCUGAUUUGGAGCGCUAUUGUAGCGCGAACUCUCUCAUGGGCACACCUAGCAUGUGUAGCUCAGUCGGACCUUAUAAUGAUUGCAUAGAGUCUGACUUUGGGUCCUUUAGGAGUUUUGGGUUAAUGGAUGACGGUAGUUUGGAGAAUUUCAGUUUGGGACUGCCGUUAGCCAGGAAUUUGGGGGACCAAAAGCCUUCCAGUUCUGCCAUUGACGGUGUUAGAAAAAGUGAUGACUGGGAUAUUAGAGUUCAGAAUGGAAGCAGUGGAUCAGUAGAGGCUACUCGAGGGGUGAGUAGCGAAAAUGAAAUGCCCGAUGGGGAUAAGGGUGUUUCUGCGGUAGAUUGCGAGGGAGAUUUUGGAGUAUUUAAAAGUUGUGAAUCAAAAGUGGUGGGAAGAAGGACUGCUAAUCUGAGGAGUAGGAAGGAGUUGCUGUUGGGUGAUGGGUUGGUCGGAGCAGAGAACGAUGAGUGCUUAGGUGGGUUGGAUUCAAAAUUAGGCUCACAGUCUCAUGGGGAAGAGACCCUUGGCGAGGAGGAUGGGAUUUCGUCGGAAUAUUUGCAUUCAGGAGAUGAGGAUUCCAUGUACAACUAUGGUUCAGAUGAUGACCACGAGAGUAAGCUCUAUUGUCAGGGGAAGAUUCAGUGUGGCCAGCAAGCAGAGGCUGAGAAAGAAAAUCCAUUGCUUUUGAAUUCAUCUGUUGCCUUUGGGUCAGGAGACUGGAAUGACUUUGAGCUUGAACUGGGAGGAAAAGAGCUGGAGCCUCUGAUUUUGAACAGCUUUCAGGAUCAGGAUACUUCAAUUGUUACUCCAGGCAUUAUUCAAACGGAGGAAGGGAUAAACGUGUCCCAUGUACCUACUACCAGUAACCUCGUUCAUGGUCCUGAGAGAUCGACUGAAAAGUUUGUUAAUGAUUUGGCGAGCCCUAUGGGUAUCCAAAAUGAAGGACAAGCAGAGCAAGUGGGAGAAAUGAGAGACAAUUCUACAGACUGUCGGGAAGUCCAAGAUAUUAAUGAAUUGGUUGAAGAGACUCAAGGCUCUACCAUGACCUCAAUGGGUUGUCUGGGGUUCGCUAAACAAGACCAAUAUCAAGAAGAUGUGCCUGUCACCAGCAACCAAGUCUUGGGUGCUGAUCGUGAGUCAAAGUUUUCCCAAAAUAUUUAUGAUGGAGGCGACUUUGAGAUGACACAGGAUCCAUUAAUCGAUAAAGUUCCCUUGGAAACAAGUUUGAACAUUAUGGGUUAUGGUAGGGAAAGGGUACAUCAAUUUGCAAAUACUGAGAAAAUUGUCAUUGAUGAAGGUGAAGCUUUAGAAAAGCAUGAGUUUAGGAAGUCAAAAGAAAAGUUGGAUACUCUCUCCAAUACUAAACUCAGUCAACUUUGUUUCCACCCAGCUGAAUCUGCUGAAAAUCUCGGUACAGAAAAUUUUGAAGACUGCAAACCUAGUUCACCAUCAACAUUUGAAAAUAUGAAGGAAAAAUUGAGGAAUACUCCUGCUAGAGCAGAUUUUUCCAAAGAUCAACCUGCACAUAUCGAGAUGGAGAAUCCCGAAGUAAAUGAAUUGUACAAUGACAUUGUUCAUGAAAUGGAAGAGAUUCUACUUGACUCUGCUGAGUCUACAGGGGCUGGGUUCCCUCAGGGUGAUCCGGCAUUUCAAUCACAAGUAACUCUACCCUUAAGAGAUGGUGGGUCUACUGCUUCUACGUCUGGUACAGAUGACGCAUACCAAUUACUUCCUCACCUCGUGAGAAUUGAUGACAUUGAAGUAGUAGGUGCUAGGCAGAAGAAAGGAGAUGUGUCACUUAGUGAAAGAUUGGUUGGAGUGAAGGAAUACACUGUGUACAGGAUAAGAGUAUGGAGUGGCAAGGAUCAAUGGGAGGUUGAGCGCAGAUAUCGUGAUUUCUUUACUCUUUAUCGUCGGCUGAAAUCCUUAUUUGCUGAUCAAGGAUUGAUCCUUCCCUCUCCUUGGUCUUCUGUAGAAAAGGAAUCCAGAAAGAUAUUUGGAAAUGUGUCUCCUGAUGUGAUUUCUGAGAGAAGUGCUCUGAUUCAUGAGUGUUUGCAUUCCAUUCUGGAUUCCAGAUCUUUUUCCAUUUCCUCAAGCACAUUAAUUUGGUUUUUGUCUCCUCAAGAUUCUUUCCCUAGUACACCCACAUCAAAUAGAUUUGUGACUCAGUUUGAAUCAUAUACUCCUGGGGAAAAUACUAAAUGCACCUCCACUUUUGGGAAGACUGUAUCUCUUAUUGUUGAAAUUAGACUGUACAAAUCUAUGAAACAAACUUUGGAAUCACAGCAUUAUACUUGUGCUGGAUGCCGCAAACAUUUUGAUGAUGGAAUGUCAUUAAUGCGGGACUUUGUUCAGACACUUGGAUGGGGAAAGCCUCGACUGUGUGAGUACACUGGUCAGUUGUUUUGUACUUCAUGCCAUACAAAUGAGACUGCAGUUUUGCCAGCAAGAGUUCUGCAUUUUUGGGAUUUUACUCAAUAUCCUGUAUCUCAAUUGGCGAAAUCAUAUCUCGACUCUAUUCAUGAACAGCCUAUGCUUUGUGUCAGUGCAGUUAACCCUUUCCUCUUCUCAAGGGUACCAGCUCUGAACCAUGUUAUGGGUGUCAGGAAAAAAGUAGGAGGUAUGCUUCAAUAUGUUCGAUGCCCAUUCCGGAGGUCCAUUAAUAAAGGACUUGGGUCUCGCAGAUAUCUAAUUGAAAGCAAUGAUUUUUUUGCACUCAGAGACCUCAUUGAUCUUUCUAAAGGAGCUUUUGCAGCAUUACCUGUGAUUGUGGAAACUGCCUCAAGGAAAAUCCUGGAGCAUAUAACAGAGCAAUGUCUCGUAUGUUGCGAUGUGGGAGUCCCAUGCAGUGCUCGACAAUUUUGUGAUGACCCAUCUUCAUUUAUUUUUCCUUUCCAGGAAGGUGAGGUACAACGGUGUAUUUCUUGUGAAUCAGUAUUCCACAAGGCUUGCUUUAGGAAGCUCACGAGUUGCUUUUGCGGGGUACAUCUUGGGGCGGGUGCGGACAAAGGGUCCUCUGAGGGGAUAAGCCAUGAGAAUAGUGGUGAAGCUGAAUUGAGCCUGUUGGGCAGAUCAAGUUCUGGAUCAUCUGCAGGAUUACUGUCUGGACUAUUCUCCAAGGCAAAAUCAGAGAAGGUAAAGCAGCAUAGGAACAUCAAUACAGUUAUUUUAAUGGGCUCUUUGCCAAGCACUUCUUUGUAAAUUUGGAGAUUUUCUGCUUGGGAGUUUUUUUGUUACCCCUUGGGCAUAAUCUGAAUAACCAGAAAAGGUCUAUCAUGUUAUCUACCAAAUUUUCAGAUAGAAUCUUCUGAAUUUCGAAUACAAAAGCAUACAUUGUGUUAAGGGAGGAAUAUGGGCGUAACAACGGGUCGUUGGCUGUGAUAGUGUACUUGAUUGCGGCAACUCUUAGUGCCAACGGGAGGCCAUGAGUUCAAGUCUCAUGAGUGUUUCCAUUAUCUUAAUUUGGAAGAUAGGCUCUUGCUCAGUCUAUCAUGUACAAAUGUUACCAUGCGUUAUCUCUUGCACUUGGCCCAAGGUUUACUAGUCGUUAUCUAGUAGGCAGUUAGGUGGGUUUCACGUUACCAAAAAAAGAGGCAUGUUGGUGUAAUUUUCCCGAUGUGGGGAUUUGCCUAUAAAAAAUAUGUAUCAUUAUAGUAUUGAUCGACAAUUUGACAUGUUUUAUACAAUAUUCGAUUUUUUUUUU